AAGAGUCGGACACGACUGAGCGACUGAACUGAACUGAAUUGAACUGAAACUGUCAUAAGAGUGGAAAUUAUGUUUUUGUUCACCACAGAAUCAGGAGUAUCUCUUAAUAGAGGGGAUAAAAUCUAACACUGAAAGCAAAAAAGUCAUAUUCCCUUUGGAGCUUGAGUUUUGGCCCCACACUCAUGACAUUUUGAGAAGCAAAGAAAUUUUUAGUUCCUAAUGUCACUUUGUCAAACAGUUUUAUCGUUCCAGGUCUAAUCCUUUUUAGCAUUGUUAAAGAUCUUACCAGAGUCUCAGUUAUGUUCAAAAAAAAACCAAAACAAAACAACACAAAAGGAAUAUAAGUACAAAAAAGAGAUUUUGGUUCAAUCUGGCCUGAAUAUUAGUCAUUCUGUACUAGUCUUAUGUGGUUUGAGUGCUCAUGUGACUUUUCUCAUAAAUUGAGCCACUUUUGAGGAAGGAUAAACUGGAGGGAACACAUGCUAAAAUGUUGAUUUCCUCUGUAUUUUUCUUUUGAAACUGCAAAUUUUAUUUCUAUUUAUCUUUUCAGGUCUACAAAAAUAUUGAGUCUGCUUGCUAUUGGGUUUCUAUCUGCAAAAUUAAGAGUUUGGCCAUGGAUUCUGCAGCCACCAUAAAAUUAGUUUUGCCAACAAUCUAAGGGAGAUUGGAAGUGAAUCCGUCCCCAGUUGAGCACCCUCUUGAGAAUGCAACCAAGCCAGAACGUUGAUUUCAACCUUGUGAAACCCUGAGUACAGAGCUGAGAACUCAGCUAAUCCUCAUCCAGAUGUCUAACCUAUAGAAGAUGAGGUGCUGUUCCUGAGGCCACCUUCCUAUCAGUCCCAAAAUACUCCAGGUAAUGGGCAGACAUCUUUCCUAGACAUCAGCUCAACAGCUGGAACAAUUCAGACUACUUGAUACCCAGUCAGCUGCUUAUCCCACUGCUGAAAAAAUUAAGAAGGUUUUGGAAGAAAAAUUCUCUUGAUACAAGACACAAAAGAAAGCCUUUAAUAAAACAAAUACACACAAAAUCCUCCAAAUUACAACCAGAAAAACAGUAUUAGCAGUGUUGACUUCAGAAGAAUCUAAUCAAUGAUUCAUUUUACUCUCAGCAAAGAACUCUACUUACAUAGCCUGUGUCUAAUGAUUUUAAGCUCAUCUCUUCUUUAGUUUCACUGCAUAAUUGUGUAGCAAAGUCAGAAGUGCUAUGAAGAACUGAACUCUGCUUACUACCAUUGGUCUGAAAUACAUUGUACACUUAGCCCCCUGUUUCUGGCUCUUUCACAUACAGUGAAAAUCAUAUCUUUUUCAGAAAUCAUAAGAUAAAAGAUCUUCUUUAACAUCCAAUAAUCCAAUAAUAGUAAGACAGAAACAACAACAUGAAGCAGAUAAACAUUUUACUGAUGAGUCAUUGUGCAGUGAAAGAGGAAGUAAAUUAACACUCAACCUGUUCCAUUGCUAAACAUUCACGAUGAGGAUUUAACAUCUGGACUAAGGAAACCAGAUGGUUACAGAGAGAAAAUUAGGCAACUUGAAGUCUUCAGAAAACUAAGAGCUCCCAAGUAGGGGGAAAAUAAUCAAGGUUGAUUGAGCUUGUUGUUCAUUCACUAAGUUGUGUCUGACUCUUUGUGACGCCAUGGACUGCAGCACACCAGGCUCCCCUGU